rnacentral:tRNA from 1 species
GGUCCGGUAGCUCAGCUGGAUAGAGCAACAGCCUUCUAAGCUGUGGGUCGAGGGUUCGAAUCCCUCCCGGAUCA